rnacentral:rRNA from 1 species
UACAGAGGUCUCAAGCGUUGUUCGGAUUCAUUGGGCGUAAAGGGUGCGUAGGCGGCGCGGUAAGUCGGGUGUGAAAUCUUGGAGCUUAACUCCGAAACUGCAUUCGAUACUGCCGUGCUUGAGGACUGGAGAGGAGACUGGAAUUUACGGUGUAGCGGUGAAAUGCGUAGAUAUCGUAAGGAAGACCAGUGGCGAAGGCGGGUCUCUGGACAGUUCCUGACACUGAGACGCGAAAGCGUGGGGAGCGAACAGG